rnacentral:rRNA from 1 species
UACGGGGGGAGCAAGCGUUGUUCGGAUUUACUGGGCGUAAAGGGCGCGUAGGCGGUCGUGACAAGUCACUUGUGAAAUCUCCGGGCUUAACUCGGAACGGUCAAGUGAUACUGUCGGACUAGAGUACAGAAGGGGCAACUGGAAUUCUCGGUGUAGAGGUGAAAUUCGUAGAUAUUCGGAGGAACACCAGUGGCGAAGGCGGCUCACUGGCUCGACACUGACGCUGAGGUGCGAAAGCGUGGGGAGCAAACAGG